GUGGUUGUGUUAAGGUCUGGAAACAACCUGCUUUAGUUCAUUAAAAGUUCAUCCUUCCUGAAUAAAAUAACAUGCUGUCAUGUCGCUCAGUCUUGAAUACAGGGUUUAUUGUUGUUUCUGGGAUGUUCAUGUUCUUUAGUUUUAUAUCUUUGAUCAUCUUUGCAUUAUGGUUCUGUAUUCUGUGUUGCUUUCUGUAAUUUCUUACUUUUCACUGGUUUUCUUUCACUUAACUCAUAUAUAAGUUUGUUUGGUUUAUUUCUUGCCUUUAGUGCUGUGCUCCUGUUUAACAGUUCUUUAUGCUCAUUCUGUGUGUUUGGUUUUGAGAUGGGAUUUAUGUUUGAGCUGUUUAUAGUCUAAUGUUUACGUUCCUGUUAUCUGUGACUUUAGUCCCCUGACUGUUGAUGGUAGGUUGUUUUUCCCACUUGCAUUCCAAUUGCGUCCCUCCGAUCUUGUCUCCAUGUUUGUUUAUCCUCUCUGUGUAUCAAGUUCAUAUGACUUAGUCCUGGUCUCAUUGUUUGCUAUUUGCUGUCUUAUUUCAAUAGUCUCUGACUGCUAGUGCUUUGUAUUUAGUUCUGCUUCCCUUGUCUCUUCUUCUGUGAUUGGUUUCAGCUGCUCUUCCACCUCUUGCAUUGUUCCUUCAUUAUGCUGUAUGUAUAUGUUGUAUCAGUUUCCCUUUGCUGUUUGUCGUGUUCUUCCUAAUGUUCUUAUGUCCCUGUCCCAGGACCACCCAGCACAAAUGUUCUCGAGUAUAUUUUUUUUAGAAGGUUUCUAGUUGUUAGACUAUUUGCUCCUGACCUGCUUUUUUUGAUUUUGUAAGAGUAAUAAAUAAACUUUUAAGUUUAUUCUUUAUCUUCUGAGUCCUGUAUUUUGGGUACAACUGCUGCCACACAGCUCGUUCCUGACAUAUAGCUAUGGUCGUGGUCAUGAUUGUAACUUCACUGAACAACUGUUUUCACUGACUUUUAGUAGGAAGUAGAAUAUGAAGUUCAGCCUCUUGUGUCAAAGUUCAACAUUUGGUUGUUGUUGUGGAAAAGCAUCAAACUACCUUCCCUCUUUUCUUUUGUCCCAUUACUACACAUCUACAGGAUUUCUUGUCUUCAAAACAAACAAUUUAGUUUUAAGAAAUGCUAAUGGCAUUUAUUUAUUUUUAUUUUAUUUUUUUCACAGACAGCAAAUGAGUGCAUUUUUUUUUUACCAUGUAAUGAAAUGUAAUGAUAGUUUGUGGACUUUUCCAACAAAAACAACUGAAAAUAUUAAUCUUUUGGACUUGCACUUAGGCAACCUUAUUUUUGCUUUGUUUUUGUUUUUUGUUUUUUAUUGUGAAGACUUUGUGAUCCUUUUAUUAACAGGUGUUAUAUGAAUAGAGUUUUACUUACUUUUCAAUUCAUCUUAGUAUUUAAUGCUCCGUGUGGUUCUUAGUUUAUUUAUUCUUGGUUAACAUUUGUUCAAGUAGCUUGAGUCUCAUGUCUAGUUAAGGUUAUUUGGUUUAGUCUUUUGUUCUUUUUCCUUCCCUUCUCUGUCAAGUUCGUAUGUUAGUCAUUGUCUCAGUACUUAGUGUCCGCCAUGAUAUGUUGAGCUAAUCUCUAUUGUUAUUUGGAUUGGGUUUAGUUUUUUUACUCAGACAUCACACUUUCCACAUUGAAUCCAUUAUGACAGAACAAUGUGAGCAAAUAAUAGACCAGCAGCCUUCAACCCCUCAGAAGUGAUAAAGAGAGUCAUUUUUUGUGUGGUGGUGCCACGUGAGGAAGGGCUGGUGGGGUCUAGCGAGGAGUACAAAGAAGUAGUAGCGCAUAAGUAACACAGCCUGAUUUCAGGGAUUCAAU
ensembl:lncRNA